GAAGCACGCACGAGGGGAACACAAACGAAACCCACCCUCCCCGUCCGUACGUCUCUCUCACCCUCCACCCGUCGCCGCCGCCGUCGCCCCCCUCCUCGAUUCGAGGGCGCCCCGGCCCUUGCUCCCGCCCCCGCCCCCGCUCGCCGGCCGCGCCGACCCCCGAAAGCUCGCCAGCACCACCACCACCACCACGGUGGCCACUCCUCCGCGGCGCGCGCUGGUGGGCGAUGCGAUCGGAUGAGGUGUGGGCGGCGGCGGCGGCGGUGCUACGUGGAGAAGAGGAGGAGGAGGAGGAGGUGGUCCAGCUUCCCCGCGGCGCCGCCGCACCAGCCCUACGGAGCGGAGGACGGUGAUGGCCCCCACCGCGGAGCCGGCGUCCCCGGCGCCGCCGCGGCGCCCGCGCUCCGGCCCGCCCCCCGGGCUCAAGAACCUCGGCAACACCUGCUACCUCAACAGCGUCCUCCAGUGCCUCGCCUCCACGCCUCCGCUCGCCAGCUUCUGUCUCGCCUCCCGCCACUCCAAUCUAUGCAAAAAAGUGUUUCCCAACAGGGACAAGGAGUGCGCCUUCUGCGUCCUCGAGCGGCAGAUUGUGCGGCAGCUUCGGGCGGAGGCAGGGGCGCUCGACUCGCCUGGGAAGGUCCUCCGCAGCCUGCCGCUCUUCGCCGAGCACUUCCGGUGGGGGCGCCAGGAGGACGCCCACGAGUUCCUGCGCUACGUCAUAGACGCUUGUCACACUGCCUGCCUCCGCAUACGCAAGCGCCUCCCCGUGGCAACUGCCAAUGGCGACUGUGGCCCGGAGGAGGGCCGAGGUCAGGGGAGCUGUAUGGUGAUGAGGGAGACAUUUGGCGGGGCACUGCUCAGCCAGGUGAAGUGCCUUGUGUGCAAGGGAGAGUCAAACAAGACCGACGAGAUCAUGGACCUCAGCCUCGACCUGCUCGGGACCAGUUCUGUUGGCGAUGCCCUUACAUGCUUCUUCAAGCCUGAGGUAUUGGAGGGUGCAAACAAAUACAGUUGUGAAAGAUGCAAGAAGCUCACCUCAGCUCGGAAGCAAAUGUUCAUACUCAAGGCACCUAAGGUUCUUGUUAUACAACUCAAGAGGUUCGAUGGAAUACAUGGUGGGAAGAUCAAUAGGAACAUAGAGUUCAAGGAAGGUCUUGUUCUUUCCGACUUCAUGUAUGACAAAAACCAGGACCCACAACCGGUAUAUAAUCUUUUUGGCAGCAUCGUCCAUUCAGGUUUCUCCCAAGAUUCUGGUCAUUACUAUGCAUAUGUUAAGGAUGCUACUGGUCGCUGGUACUGUUGUAAUGAUUCUCAGGUCUCCCUGUCAAGAUCUCAGGACGUUUUGACUGAGAAGGUCUAUAUCCUAUUCUAUAUACUGAGUUCCAAAACUCAAACAAAUAGUACAAAUGGUUACUCUUCUAGUGCAGUUAAAUCUUCCAACACCAAUGGGAAUGGCAUAUCAAGUGCCGCAUGUAGUGAGCCCCUGAAGAUACCAUUAGUGAAGCAGAACGGCUCAUGCUCUACUAAAGGUAUUGUGCCACUACCCCUAAAGAAUGGCAAGAUUGCACCAGGUCUACAGUUCAAGCCGAUCCACUUGAAGAAUACAGGAACAGAGAAGGUUGCAUCAAAUGGCAAACCGCACCCCGUUUUGAGAAAGCCAGAAGUUAAUGAAGCCACAGCACUAGUGGAAUCGAACGGAUGCGGACCCGCAAAAUCUGCAGAACCCAGUGAAGGGUAUGCUAAUGGUAGUAUUUCCUGCGAUAAGUUGGACGCUGAUUCACAAAGAAUGUUGCAAGGCACAGAUGGAAAUGGACAUCCAGUUCAUUUUGUUGGCCUCCAAGAGACCAGUGGUGCCAAGGCCACGUGUGCUGAAAACCCCCCUGAACAGCCAUCUAGUGUUGUUACCUCAACAUUGGACAAGAGCAUUUGUAGUUCAGAAAAGGGUCCUAAAAGCUCAGUUUUACACCCUGAAGUAUCUGCUGACUCAGUCAAAGCAGUGGUGGCUUCAGCCAAGGACAGUGCAUGCUUGAAGCAUCAUCUUGAAGAAGGAAAGUUUAAGGAAAUGCUUGCUGAAUCAGCAUCUUCUGAGCUUCGGUCGUCUGGUUGGGCGGAUGAUGUAUGUAAUUUUAUGCGUUCUGCAAAGAGGCAGUGUAUACAGAACACAGGCAUGUCUCAAGAUAGUGAGGCAAUCAGGAAGCAGCUAAUAAGUGAUUCUGGAAGAGUAUUUAGGUCCAAAAUUCCAGAGUUACUGCGGGAAGAUCUGAUUCAAUCCCUGAGAUCAUACUUCGAGGAUAAAUUUUGACUGGAUGCUUAAGCUUGUGUGGGCCUUGUUUAAAAGGUGCCAGUGGUCUACUAGGAAGCUCAUGCACGGCUGGCUUAUUUUUGAGGCGUUUUUGUUCCCUGAGAUGAGAUGAGGUUGAGAAGUAGAGCGACGUGUAAAGCUUGCCUCCUUUUUGCUGUUGUUCCCCAUGCUAUACUGUAGGCUUGAAACCCCACAAUCAGCACCCCCUUUCUUCUGUUUCUAGCAUGUAGCAGCAUACUGUUUCUUGUUUUCCCCCCUUUGUACAAUUAUAAGUGGUAGACCCCUUUGUACGAUUAUAACUGGUAGAUUAGCUCAUGAAUUUCUUGGGUUUUGACCUGAUCUCAAAAUAAACCUGUUGAUGGUUUUAAUUAUAUAUGAUCGGUUACUUUCAGCUUUCUGGGUGUCAUUUUGCAGAACGGCUGAUGGAUUCCGGAUAUGAUAAUGAUCUCUCAAAAGCGACAUGUCGUCUGUGAAUAGAUGUAGACUACUCUCUCUGUAACUUUUCAUAAGACGUCUUUAGAGUCCAUGACAGUAUACAAAAACGUUUUAUUUUAAGUUACAGAGGGAAUACAAAUUAAUGUUUUUCU
rnacentral:rRNA from 1 species